rnacentral:lncRNA from 1 species
CAAGUUUUUUUAAAGGCACUGAGACAUUUGUUAGCGUUUUCUAAAAAUAUAUAAUGUCUCAAGCAUGUAAUCAAUAAAUAGGGUUUAUCCUAUAAGAGUGCCAGAGUGGUAUGAUGCAACAUGCAUGCAUCUAUGAGAACUUUGUCUCUUGGAUCAAACAACAUCACAUCUAUUUCCCAAUAAAAAAUAUUACUAGGUUGUUCAAUUUUCUAAUUUAUUACUUGUGAACACGUUACCCUGAUACUUUAGACUUUUGUUGAAUGAUUUAAUGUCAUAUUAUUUUAACUAUUUAGAAGUGAAUAAUUCUCCUUAUUUUAAACUAGUAAUUUGAGAUAACAUGGUCAUUUUAAGAUAUUAAUUUUUCACGACAUAUAUUUUUCUAUAUGUGCCGGAAAUAUUACUAAUCUUCUAUUAUUAUUUGUGGAAGAAACUAUUUUGAUUGUUAGGAUUUGAAUUUUGUUUUGAUAACUUCAUAUUGACUUCUAAUAUUUUUAUAUGUAUCAUUAGUGAUAUGUCCCAACUUAUAAUCUUCCUGACUAUUUCAUCUUAAUUUUUGUUUUUGAAAAAAAUGAAAUUCUUUUACCAUUAAAAAAAGAGUUAGGAUCCUUUAACAACCAGGUGUCAACGGAUUCGUUGACACCAAAUCAUACCCGUCAAUUCUUUUAAUCCAAAAGCCUAUAAUUAACCCGUGUUUCUUUUUCUUGUGUAUCAUUUCUCUCAUUCACACACAAUUAUUGCUUUUAGUGAUUGAAAAACUCAAACUGAAAACAUGGAGUAUUGAUACUCGUUAUUCUCUUCUGGGAAAAUUGUUUUUCUCUUCCCCCACUCCUAUGAAUAUUAUUAUUCUUGUUUGAAUCUCCUUUCCCUCUUAUUUAACUCCUCGUAUCUAUUGCAGCACAUGAAGGAAAUUUAUGCCAAGCUUAUGAUAAAAUCACAAUUGGAGAGGAUAAUGGUGAAAGUAGGAGAUUGUUAGAUGAGUUUGCUUUUAAUUUUAGGUGUUUAACCAUGAUUGAAUAUGAAUUUCCUUCAAAAAAAAAUGAUUGAAUAUGAAUUAAAAUAAUCCUAGGGUUUUAUCGUUUCAAAUGAUUGGAUAUCAACAAAAUGAAUUUUAUAGUUUUGGUAGAAUGGAAAACCCUUCUAAUUGAAUUGAUAUCAAAUCCCAGUAUUGAGAAAAAAAAUAAAGAAUUAGAUUAGCUAAAUAUGUGUAGAGGUGAUUGAGUAAUUGAGAUCUAAGAGUACGACAGCACACAUACUUUCACAGCAGGUUAGAUGCGUUAACAAGGGAAGCAGAAACGAGUUUUCCCAACAAGGGAAGGGAGGAAUCAAGGGAAGAAAGCCCACAGAAGUAAAUUUAACAAACAAUGACGGGUCUUUGGAUUAAAAAAAUAGACGGA